UUUUAUUGUUAGCUAGGGAGAAAGUCCAGUGACUCAUGACACUGGCAGUAGCCAGGGCAUUCCCACUGUUUGUUGUUGAGGAGGAGACUUGUCCCUACAGAAGGAAGUUUAAUUUUGAAGUAGAGAAGACUUCUGCAAGGACUUCCCUUGAUGUACAAUUUUACUUUAGAU